UACGUAGGGUGCGAGCGUUGUCCGGAAUUAUUGGGCGUAAAGAGCUCGUAGGCGGUGUGUCACGUCGUUCGUGAAAACCUGCAGCUUAACUGUGGGCGUGCGGUCGAUACGGGCAUCACUGGAGUUCGGCAGGGGAGACUGGAAUUCCUGGUGUAGCGGUGAAAUGCGCAGAUAUCAGGAGGAACACCUAUGGCGAAGGCAGCACUCUGGGACGGUACUGACGCUGAGACGCGAAAGCGUGGGGAGCGAACAGG
rnacentral:rRNA from 1 species